rnacentral:rRNA from 1 species
UACGGAGGGGGCUAGCGUUGUUCGGAAUUACUGGGCGUAGAGCGCGCGUAGGCGGCUUUGCAAGUUAGAGGUGAAAGCCCGAAGCUCAACUUCGGAAUUGCCUUUAAAACUGCGAGGCUAGAAUUGUGGAGAGGUAAGUGGAAUUCCGAGUGUAGAGGUGAAAUUCGUAGAUAUUCGGAAGAACACCAGUGGCGAAGGCGACUUACUGGACACAUAUUGACGCUGAGGUGCGAAAGCGUGGGGAGCAAACAGG